AUUGAACGCUGGCGGCAGGCUUAACACAUGCAAGUCGAGCGGUAACAGAGAGAAGCUUGCUUCUCUGCUGACGAGCGGCGGACGGGUGAGUAAUGCCUAGGAGUCUGCCUAGUAGUGGGGGAUAACUUGCCGAAAGGUAAGCUAAUACCGCAUACGUCCUACGGGAGAAAGGAGGGGACCUUCGGGCCUUUCGCUAUUAGAUGAGCCUAGGUCGGAUUAGUUAGUUGGUGAGGUAAUGGCUCACCAAGACCGCGAUCCGUAACUGGUCUGAGAGGAUGAUCAGUCACACUGGAACUGAGACACGGUCCAGACUCCUACGGGAGGCAGCAGUGGGGAAUAUUGGACAAUGGGGGGAACCCUGAUCCAGCCAUGCCGCGUGUGUGAAGAAGGUCUUAGGAUUGUAAAGCACUUUAAGUUGGGAGGAAGAGCAGUUAACUAAUAUUUGACUGUUUUGACGUUACCGACAGAAGAAGCACCGGCUAACUUCGUGCCAGCAGCCGCGGUAA
rnacentral:rRNA from 1 species